GACAGCGUGGCGUUGUAGGGCUGCACCACCGUGUCCGAGACCUUGGGCGAGGGCACCACGCUGAAGGUGGUCAUGAUGCGGUCGGGGUACUCCUCUCGAAGCUUGCCGAUG
rnacentral:miRNA from 1 species